rnacentral:rRNA from 1 species
CCUACGGGAGGUAGCAGUGGGGAAUAUUGGACAAUGGGCGAAAGCCUGAUCCAGCAAUGCCGCGUGAGUGAUGAAGGCCUUCGGGUCGUAAAGCUCUUUUACCAGGGAUGAUAAUGACAGUACCUGGAGAAUAAGCUCCGGCUAACUCCGUGCCAGCAGCCGCGGUAAUACGGAGGGAGCUAGCGUUGUUCGGAAUUACUGGGCGUAAAGAGUACGUAGGCGGUUAUUCAAGUCAGAGGUGAAAGCCCGGGGCUCAACCCCGGAACUGCCUUUGAAACUAGAUAACUAGAGUCUUGGAGAGGUUAGUGGAAUUCCGAGUGUAGAGGUGAAAUUCGUAGAUAUUCGGAAGAACACCAGUGGCGAAGGCGACUAACUGGACAAGUACUGACGCUGAGGUACGAAAGCGUGGGGAGCAAACAGGAUUAGAUACCCUGGUAGUCCACGCCGUAAACGAUGAUAACUAGUUGUUCGGUCACUUGGUGACUGAGUGACGCAGCUAACGCAUUAAGUUAUCCGCCUGGGGAGUACGGUCGCAAGAUUAAAACUCAAAGGAAUUGACGG